rnacentral:rRNA from 1 species
UACGGGGGGGGCAAGCGUUGUUCGGAAUUACUGGGCGUAAAGGGCUCGUAGGCGGCCAACUAAGUCAGACGUGAAAUCCCUCGGCUUAACCGGGGAACUGCAUCUGAUACUGGAUGGCUAGAGAUUGGGAGAGGGAUGCGGAAUUCCAGGUGUAGCGGUGAAAUGCGUAGAUAUCUGGAGGAACACCGGUGGCGAAGGCGGCAUCCUGGACCAACACUGACGCUGAGGAGCGAAAGCCAGGGGAGCAAACGGG